rnacentral:rRNA from 1 species
AGAACGAACGCUGGCGGCGUGGAUAAGACAUGCAAGUCGAGCGAGAUUUUUUCCUGUAGCAAUACAGGGAAAAGUUUAGCGGCGAACGGGUGCAUAACACGUGGGCAAUCUGCCGAGAAGUGGGGGAUAGCUCGCCGAAAGGCGAAUUAAUACCGCAUGUGAUUAGAGUGGACAUCCAUUCAAAAUCAAAGUCGGGGCAACCUGACGCUUCUUGAGGAGCCCGCGGCCUAUCAGCUAGUUGGUGAGGUAACGGCCCACCAAGGCGACGACGGGUAGCUGGUCUUAGAGGACGACCAGCCACACUGGAACUGAGACACGGUCCAGACACCUACGGGUGGCAGCAGUCGAGAAUCUUUCACAAUGGGGGCAACCCUGAUGGAGCGACGCCGCGUGGAGGAUAAGGUCUUCGGAUUGUAAACUCCUGUCAUGCGAGAACAAAGCCCUAGUGGGUGUGAUAGUAUCGCAAGGAGGAAGAGACGGACUAACUCUGU